rnacentral:sRNA from 1 species
ACUCAACAGGAAUUAAUUCUGAAGGAUGAGUCUCAAUUGUUAAAGCAAGCCGUUAGUGCUGAAUUUAUUUCAGUAUCUUGAACGGAUCCUUGAUCAGUUGGUUAGUCCUAUUUAUGUUUAAAUUGGAGUUC